rnacentral:rRNA from 1 species
CAGUCGCCGCGGGAAUACGAAGGGGGCUAGCGUUGUUCGGAAUCACUGGGCGUAAAGCGCACGUAGGCGGACUUUUAAGUCAGGGGUGAAAUCCCAAGGCUCAACCUUGGAACUGCCUUUGAUACUGGAAGUCUUGAGUUCGGGAGAGGUGAGUGGAACUGCGAGUGUAGAGGUGAAAUUCGUAGAUAUUCGCAAGAACACCAGUGGCGAAGGCGGCUCACUGGCCCGAUACUGACGCUGAGGUGCGAAAGCGUGGGGAGCAAACAGGAUUAGAGACCCCAGUAGUCCCUGUCUCUUAUAC